GAUGAACGCUGGCGGCGUGCCUAAUACAUGCAAGUCGAGCGAACGGACGAGAAGCUUGCUUCUCUGAUGUUAGCGGCGGACGGGUGAGUAACACGUGGAUAACCUACCUAUAAGACUGGGAUAACUUCGGGAAACCGGAGCUAAUACCGGAUAAUAUUUUGAACCGCAUGGUUCAAAAGUAAAAGACGGUCUUGCUGUCACUUAUAGAUGGAUCCGCGCUGCAUUAGCUAGUUGGUAAGGUAACGGCUUACCAAGGCAACGAUGCAUAGCCGACCUGAGAGGGUGAUCGGCCACACUGGAACUGAGACACGGUCCAGACUCCUACGGGAGGCAGCAGUAGGGAAUCUUCCGCAAUGGGCGAAAGCCUGACGUAGCAACGCCGCGUGAGUGAUGAAGGUCUUCGGAUCGUAAAACUCUGUUAUUAGGGAAGAACAUAUGUGUAAGUAACUGUGCACAUCUUGACGGUACCUAAUCAGAAAGCCACGGCUAACUACGUG
rnacentral:rRNA from 1 species